CGCAGACAGGCGGUGGACGGUCGCCCCGCCAACCCGGUCAGGUCCGGAAGGAAGCAGCCGCAACGGGUAGUGCUCGGGUCGCCGUCCUGUCUGUACCC
rnacentral:SRP_RNA from 1 species